rnacentral:tRNA from 1 species
AGGCCCGUAGCUCAAUUUGGCAGAGCACGGGACUCCAAAUCCCGGGGUUGUCGGUUCAACUCCGGCCGGGCCUGCCA